CCGACCCAUCUUCACGUCUUUAUCUUCAAGCUCCAUCUCGUCUUCUCUCUUAGAAAUCAAAGACAAGGGCGGCGGGCGACAUGGAGAGGGUUGCGCUACUCUGCUCCUUAUCUUGCUCCAACACUAUCUGAAGGCGCCUUCUCUCCUCACCACGCUCCUUGUCUCGCCUGUUCUCCUCCAACAUCUGCAGGCCCCGGAGGUCACAACAGUUCUUCCCCUACACUAUGUUGACUCUCCACUUUUGGCGGAAGCACCCCACACCGCUCCUAUGCUUGGGGCGGGGCUUUCCUAUAACUUCCAUCCGUGCAGUCUCCACCUCCCUUGUCGAGAGAGGUUAUUCAUAAAAAGCAAAAAGAAUGAUGAUGCAUUAUAAAUAUUAUCACAGACUGUCUCUCAAGGGUUACAUCGACUUAGAGGCUGAAUUGGGGAGAAAAAAUUAAUUCUUGAAAAUGAGAAAGUUGAUAAAUCGAUACUUUGGCGUAAAACACAUGAGGACAAAUCUGGCAACAUAACAAAUAUGGAGAUAGCAGAAGUCGUUGAAAAAAUUAUAAAUAUUUUUUUUAUCUAAUUUUCAUAUUUCCUUGCUAAAUAAUAUUGGAAUUUUUGGAUUGAUUUGUUACAAUCCCAUAUUGUAGGAUAACUUGUUGGAAAAGAAAGUCAAAGGAGAGUUCAAAUCUCAAUUCUUUGAAUACUCACAAGAAUGUUUUAAAAUAUUGUAGAAAAAUGUGCAACAUCAAUUAUUUUUUCCUUCGGAUGUUCAUGGUCAUCAAGACAAGUACAAUGAAAUUGAAAAAACAUUGCCGAUGGCAUGUAAGUAUAUCUACUCGUAUGUUAUCAGAUUGAUGCAUGAAGAUGAGAGUAUACACAUAGAAUUUGAUGAAACUAUGUUUGGAUGUCUUAAAAGUGUAUGGUUGCUAAGAGAAGAUAUCUUACGCUUUAUGGAGAUGAAAGAGAUAGGUGUCAAACAAAUUUUGAUUUACAUGGGUUACCUUUACAAAUACUUGAAGAAAGAAAAAAGAGCUGAGUAUGUGUCAUUUGUGGAUCUUGGUCACAUACCUACAUGCGGUGUGGAUGAAGAAGGCAGUAAAUUGUUAUAACAUAUUGCUGCUCAGUUGAGAGCAUCGAACAGAGAUACCAGAAAUUGUCCCAUAUAACAUUGGGCAAGAUUUUAAUUAUUUAUCAAUUCCUAUUACAUGCUAAUCAAUGUAAUAUUUUCAUUUGUACAGGUACCAUUGGAUCUUGACUAUAAUUAAUGAAGAUAAGAAUAUGAUAUAUUAUUGGACUCUUUGAGUAAUAGGAACCGAGACUUUGCUUGGCAAACUACUAUGACCAAUGGGGUCAAGAUAUACAAUGCAUCAAGGGGUAUUUCAAAAGGACCAGGGUAAUGUUAAACAAAAUGGUGGUGUUGAAUGUGAAUAUUGUGUGAUGCGGUAGAUGAAAGAGAUAGUCUUAGAUGAAGAUCCACAAUUGGAGAAAAAGUUGCAGCAUCAAAAAAUAAACAAUAUUACAAUCAAUCUCAGUAUGAUGAAGUCAGAAGUGAAUGGAGCGAAUUCGUCUACUUCUAUGUGGGUGCCUAAGUAUAGACUAUGAUAUAAAUUUUAGACAUGUAUUUAGAGAUUUAUGGAUACAAAAGUUUUUGGGUUAUAGUUAAACAUGUCUUUUAUAAAUACACUUUUGGAUUGUAUUUGAUACAUAUUUGUGAUA